GAUGAACACUGGCGGUCUGCUUAACACAUGCAAGUCGAACGGAAUCCUUCGGGAUUUAGUGGCGGACGGGUGAGUAACACGUGAGAAUCUGCACUCAGGAUGGGGACAACAGCGGGAAACUGCUGCUAAUACCCAAUGUGCCGAAAGGUAAAAGAUUUAUCGCCUGAGAAUGAGCUCGCGGCCGAUUAGUUAGUUGGUGGGGUAAUGGCCUACCAAGACGGCGAUCGGUAGCUGGUCUGAGAGGAUGAGCAGCCACACUGGGACUGAGACACGGCCCAGACUCCUACGGGAGGCAGCAGUGGGGAAUUUUCCGCAAUGGGCGCAAGCCUGACGGAGCAAGACCGCGUGGGGGAGGAAGGCUCUUGGGUUGUAAACCCCUUUUCUCAAGGAAGAACAAAAUGACGGUACUUGAGGAAUCAGCCUCGGCUAACUCCGUGCCAGCAGCCGCGGUAACAC
rnacentral:rRNA from 1 species